rnacentral:rRNA from 1 species
UGCGUAGGCGGUUUAAUAAGUUAGAGGUUAAAUGUCGGGGCUCAACUCCGGCCUGCCUCUAAUACUGUUGGACUAGAGAGUAGAUGCGGUAGGCGGAAUGUAUGGUGUAGCGGUGAAAUGCGUAGAGAUCAUACAGAACACCGAUUGCGAAGGCAGCUUACCAAACUAUAUCUGACGUUGAGGCACGAAAGCGUGGGUAGCAAACAGGAUUAGAUACCCUAGUA